rnacentral:ribozyme from 13 species
UCUUUUUUUUUUCUUUAUUUUAUUGUUUCUUCUUUUAUUUCCUUUCCUCUCCUUUUCUUCUUUUGAUUAAUUCGAAAGGGAGAGAUGAGUCUUCAAAAAGAUGUAGAAGCAAAAGAGAAGUUG